GGAGGGGGACGGUCUCGCGGACUCUCCCGGACCCCCGGCCGACGAAGACACCCAUUGCCAAGGAUCACUCGGUGUCCUUAGGGGGCGGCAUAUGCAUGCCACCAAAGAUAUAACACAUCGGCAACCCCUGCCAUAGGUGGCCGGCGACGGCGCGUCUUUCUUGCGAUUUUUCGACGGCCGCCAAGUCCUUUCUCUGCCUACGCAUCCGUACUCAGCGGCCCCUUCAUCCGGGCAUAUCUCUUGGCCGUACGAUUUGUAACAGCUCCCACCCUUGACGAGACGUCCAACUUGUUUUGUAACGUGGUUGCGUGCAGCCCCCACACGGCCCGGCUUGGCACAACAAGUGGCAAAAAUGUAGGCAAUUACUGGUCCCAAGCUGCUGAGCAGAUGAUUGGUCCAGUUCGCACCAUGAAUUUGUCAGGAGAACGAGAAUGGACGCUAUUAAGCUACCUAGAUGCGUCUCGGCUGCAGCUUCAGGAAAACUUGAGCAGGUACACAUGUAUGCACAUGUAUAACCCGCGUGGGCAGAUGAGUGUGGCACGCGUCUCUCCGCGUCUCUCCGCAACUCUCAGACGUACCUCUUCUCUAGUCCUCCCGUAGGAUCGAGGUCAUCACCUUUCUACAUCCGAAUGGCUUUCGCCCUUCCAGUCUAUUUGACUAAAACAAGCUCGCGCUGCCCGCUGCAUCUCUCCUCAAGGCCAGAAGUUACUGUAUGAUCGAAAGGAAGGAUCAGGGACGUGGUGGCACGGGCGGCAAGAAGGUGGCAGGGGCCAUCGUUUCCGGUCGCCCACGCAAGACAAAUUUCUGGUCCUUUCCUCUCUGCUAGGACGUGGCAGCAUCUACUCACGGGCGAAAUUACAUAAGAGGCUUCGUAGAUCAUAUAAGCGCAGAGGAGUGAAACAGUUAGUGGGUGUCGCAACGAUUGUGCGAGGGGAUUUCUUGCGUCGAUGAUGUACGCUGCGAGCAUGUUCGAAUUUAAACACCUGGAAUUGGACACUGUAGAAUAAGAUUCGUCAAAUAAACAUAACUGCUGUAAAAAACCUGAACAUAAAACUGAU